UUGAGGCACUCUGCAACACAGAGUACAAAUACUCUUGUGUAAAUUGUGGCUUUUACCCUCCAGUGGUGGUUAUGGACCUCCACAGGAAAGGAGUGUUUAAUUUUGAGGUUAGUGAGCUGGAACAACCUAGGGAUGACUUUCGCGGUGAACACGACAUAGAGGCUUUCUGGGAAUCUGUUCAUCUGCACAUGAUCAGCCGAGGAUUUUUUGAGUUCUCUUCACAGAAUCCAUUUGUUGUUAAACCAACAUAUGACAACUGGGCACCUUGGAUCGGAAGGGAGACUCGUA